UCCUCCUGUUCUCCACACCUGCACUCACUUCCCUCGUCAUCUCCCCAUCAUCACAGAUCAUCUUCACCUGGACCUCCUCGUCAGCACGCCCCAUAUAAUGGACUCACUCCCUUUACUCCCUGUCCGUUCUUUGUUGUGGCUUAACUUGUGUAUCGUGUAUACUCUCCUGCAGUCUCUAUUAAAACCCUGUAUAGUGGAUGUCUGUUUAAGUCUUGUCUCUCCUGCACUACACACCGGUGAAGUGCUGUCCACAACACACACAACAGAUCUGACAAAAGCAGAAAACUGCUGUGAGAUGGUUGCUGUGUUGAAGAAGGUAAUUGUUCUGCAGGUGCUCAUCCCGUCUGGGACGCCAAAUUACAGCUUGAUAUCAAACAGGGAAGCAUAAAAAUGUGUGUUUCACAUGAUGACAAUGAUAUUGGCAUGCUGUGAUAGUGAGAGGGAAGUACUUCUGGGCAUAAUACUGACCUGGAGAACAGAUGUGAAGAAAAAUACUACAUCAUAACACCUUUAUUACCUCUUCCCAUUUUGAUCAAAUUCAGUCUUUCUUUCUUGUAAAUGAAUCCAAAAAACGAAAAUGUUUUGCAGAGCAAAAUGUUCCAGGGGGCUUAAAAUAUUGACAUCAUCUCUGGUGAGCUCCAUGGAGCUUGAAAGAAAGUACACAUGGAAAAUGUGCUCUCUUCAUCUAAUAUGUCCAACUAUGCACAGUCUUUGUUAAUGUUGCGGUUUGCUUGGUUAGCAACUGACAGUGCCUCAUAACACUCAGAAUCUCAGAUGCUAUAAGUGUGCACUGAACUGCAAAAAGACUGCCCAGGAAACCAUGGCCCAUCAAACUAGCUCCAAUUUUCUCAUGUCAGCAGGAACACAUCAACAUAGAUGGUUUUACCUUUGUGACAGCUGGGUACUUUGGCUUUUUUUUA